rnacentral:rRNA from 1 species
UACGUAGGGUGCAAGCGUUGUCCGGAAUUAUUGGGCGUAAAGAGCUCGUAGGCGGUCAGUCGCGUCUGCUGUGAAAACUCGGGGCUUAACUCCGGGCCUGCAGUGGGUACGGGCUGACUAGAGUGCGGUAGGGGAGACUGGAAUUCCUGGUGUAGCGGUGAAAUGCGCAGAUAUCAGGAGGAACACCGGUGGCGAAGGCAGCUCGCUGGGACGGUACUGACGCUGAGGCGCGAAAGCGUGGGGAGCAAACAGG